rnacentral:rRNA from 2 species
AUUCUUUAUAGCUUGCUAUGAUAGAAAUUAGUGGCAGACGGGUGAGUAAUGCAUAGGAAUCUACCUAGUAGUAUGGGAUAGCCACUAGAAAUGGUGGGUAAUACUGUAUAAUCCCUGCGGGGGAAAGAUUUAUCGCUAUUAGAUGAGCCUAUGUUAGAUUAGCUAGUUGGUAGGGUAAAGGCCUACCAAGGCAGUGAUCUAUAGCUGGUCUGAGAGGAUGAUCAGCCACACUGGAACUGAGAUACGGUCCAGACUCCUACGGGAGGCAGCAGUGGGGAAUAUUGGACAAUGGGCGCAAGCCUGAUCCAGCUAUGCCGCGUGAGUGAGGAAGGCCUUAGGGUUGUAAAACUCUUUCAGUGGGGAAGAUAAUGACGGUACCCACAGAAGAAGUCCCGGCAAACUCCGUGCCAGCAGCCGGCGGGUAAUAUUACGGGGAGGGGGGGGGCCAAAAGGCCGGCUUUGGUUCCGGGGAACUUAUUCGGGGCCGUAAAGGGGCAUGUAGGCGGUUCGGUAAGUCAAGGUGACAUGCCAGGGCUUACCCUGGAGCUGCUUUUAAU